UACGUAGGGUGCAGGCGUUAAUCGGAAUUACUGGGCGUAAAGCGUGCGCAGGCGGUUUGCUAAGACAGGUGUGAAAUCCCCGGGCUUAACCUGGGAACUGCGCUUGUAACUGGCAAGCUAGAGUGUGGCAGAGGGGGGUGGAAUUCCACGUGUAGCAGUGAAAUGCGUAGAGAUGCGGAGGAACACCGAUGGCGAAGGCAGCCCCCUGGGCUAGCACUGACGCUCAGGCACGAAAGCGUGGGGAGCAAACAGG
rnacentral:rRNA from 1 species